CGGGGUGAGUAAUGCUUGGGAAUCUGGCUUAUGGAGGGGGAUAACGACGGGAAACUGUAGCUAAUACCGCGUAGUGUCGAGAGACGAAAGUGCGGGACCGAAAGGCCGCAUGCCAUGAGAUGAGCCCAAGUGGGAUUAGGUAGUUGGUGGGGUAAAGGCCUACCAAGCCUGCGAUCUCUAGCUGGUCUGAGAGGAUGGCCAGCCACACUGGAACUGAGACACGGUCCAG
rnacentral:rRNA from 1 species